UCCUGGUUAACCCAGGCAGUCUCAUUAGAGUUCCCACCUUAAAUGUUGGCAACUAAUGAUAAGGGUUGCGCUCGUUGCGGGACUUAACCCAACACCUCACGGCACGAGCUGACGACAGCCAUGCAGCACCUGUGUAGCAGUCCCGAAGGAAGAGUCCAUUUCUGGACCUGUCUACUACAUGUCAAGUCUGGGUAAGGUUCUUCGCGUUGCAUCGAAUUAAACCACAUGCUCCACUGCUUGUGCGGGUCCCCGUCAAUU
rnacentral:misc_RNA from 1 species